GUCUCAAGCGUUGUUCGUAAUCACUGGGCGUAAAGGGUGCGUAGGUGGCGUGGUAAGUCAGAUGUGAAAGCCCGGGGCUCAACCUCGGAACUGCAUCCGAUACUGCCGUGCUUGAGGACUGGAGAGGAGACUGGAAUUUACGGUGUAGCGGUGAAAUGCGUAGAUAUCGUAAGGAAGACCAGUGGCGAAGGCGGGUCUCUGGACAGUUCCUGACGCUGAGGCACGAAGGCCAGGGGAGCAAACGGG
rnacentral:rRNA from 1 species